rnacentral:rRNA from 1 species
GACGUAGGGCGCGAGCGUUGUCCGGAUUUAUUGGGCGUAAAGAGCUCGUAGGCGGCUUGUUGCGUCGACCGUGAAAACCCGCGGCUUAACUGUGGGCUUGCGGUCGAUACGGGCGGGCUGGAGUUCGGUAGGGGAGACUGGAAUUCCUGGUGUAGCGGUGAAAUGCGCAGAUAUCAGGAAGAACACCAAUGGCGAAGGCAGUCUCUGGGACGGUACUGACGCUGAGACGCGAAAGCGUGGGGAGCGAACAGG